rnacentral:rRNA from 1 species
UAAGAGCUUGCUCUUAUGGGUGGCGAGUGGCGGACGGGUGAGGAAUACAUCGGAAUCUACCUUUUCGUGGGGGAUAACGUAGGGAAACUUACGCUAAUACCGCAUACGACCUUCGGGUGAAAGCAGGGGACCUUCGGGCCUUGCGCGGAUAGAUGAGCCGAUGUCGGAUUAGCUAGUUGGCGGGGUAAAGGCCCACCAAGGCGACGAUCCGUAGCUGGUCUGAGAGGAUGAUCAGCCACACUGGAACUGAGACACGGUCCAGACUCCUACGGGAGGCAGCAGUGGGGAAUAUUGGACAAUGGGCGCAAGCCUGAUCCAGCCAUACCGCGUGGGUGAAGAAGGCCUUCGGGUUGU